GCCGAGGUGGCGGAAUCGGCAGACGCACUGGCCCUAGGAGCCAGGGAUCGAAAGAUCGUGGGAGUUCAAAUCUCCCCCUCGGCA
rnacentral:tRNA from 1 species